rnacentral:misc_RNA from 1 species
GCAUCGAUGAAGAACGCAGCGAAAUGCGAUAAGUAGUGUGAAUUGCAGAAUUCAGUGAAUCAUCGAAUCUUUGAACGCACAUUGCGCCCUUUGGUAUUCCUUAGGGCAUGCCUGUUCGAGCGUCAUUUAAACCUUCAAGCUCAGCUUGGUGUUGGGUGACUGUCCGCCGCCUCCGGGCGGUCGGACUCGCCUCAAAUUGAUUGGCGGCCGGUACUUUGGCUUCGAGCGCAGCAGAAACGCGAACUCGAGGCCGUCGUCCUGGCUCCCAGAAGCUAUCUUCACAAUUUUGACCUCGGAUCAGGUAGGGAUACCCGCUGAACUUAAGCAUAUCAAUAAGCGGAGGA